ACCUUACUUGACCUCCUUUGUACAAGAUUUGGUGAAACUGUAGGACGUUGGUUGCAACAAUGAUCUAUACAGUCACAGUUCAUGUCAAUAACGUCACACCAUGACUUCUGUGAAUUUUGCAGUGCUGGUGCGGCUGAUCUCAAGACCACCCAGCGGCGGGGGAAGCCUUGGGGCCAGCUGCACUGGCUGGUGCUCUGGCAGCCCCAGGCAGCUGGUCCCCAGCGCUGCCCCGGAGCAGCGGUCUAGGACUAGUGGCAGUGGCGGCAGGGCCUUGGGCCGCCCCUCCCACCCAGAAGCAGCGGGGCCCCGGGCCAUCCCCCCCAGCAGCGGCAGGGGGCCUUGGGCUGUUCCCCCCCCAGCGGCAUGAUGCCCACCCCAAGCAACAGUCUUCAGGAGUGCCCCCAUCCCAGCAGGUAAGAUUUAGUCACAGGUAUUUUUAAUAAAAGUCAUGGACAGGUCACGGGGCCGUGACUUUUUGUUUAUUGCCCGUCCUCUGUCCAUGACUUUCACUAAAAAUACCCGUGACUAAAACGUAGCCUUACAAAUUAUCCAUUACAGCCCUUUCUGCACAGAUGUGGCACUCAGAGAUUAGUCUCUAGAUUAAGGUUUUACUUCAUUCUGAAAUGAGUACAAAUUCCAGGUCACAGCAGCCCGCAACCCAGCUAAAUCUCUGCAUUAAGCCUCUUGGGCUGGGAAGGGACAGAGACAUAUCCAGCCCCUUCCUCUCCAUACAUAUGAAGUCCCGAGUUGAUGUUUGCCUGAGCUCACUCCUUUGAAAGCCACCAUCAAGCAAAGUACUGAGAAAUUGACCAGAGGGAACACACAAGGAAACUGACCAGAGGGAACACUCACCCAAGAAAAUGGACCCACUCAGGGCAUGAGAUCAGCAGUGCACCUCUUGUGCUCACCAAAAGCUCACCUGCUGGGGCACUUUUUGCAAUGUCUCAGCUGACUCUGAGGAGUUUGCUUGGACAAACUGGCCAGGAUCAUGGUGCACAGAGAGAGAGAGACUGGGUUAGUUUUGUACUUUGUUUAUUUAAAAACCCAAUAACGUUUAAGGAAAAGUAUAAAAAUGGGGAGGGGGGAAGGAUUUUUUUCCCAGGAAAUGAAGGGAAAUUGGGUGCAGGAGACAAACUUUUGGAUCUGUGUAUGUGCUGUGAAUGCGCACAUGUAGCUGCAGUGAGGGGGUAUUUUCCUGGGUAAAGGGAUAUAACUCUGGCAUGAGAGUGAAGAGGAAUGCUUUGUGUGAUAAACACCCAAUUUUUCAUGGUCUGUGUGUAUAAAAACAUCCUCACUGUGUUUUCCACUUUGUGCAUCAGAUGAAGUGAGCUGUAGCUCACGAAAGCUUAUGCUCAAAUAAAUUGGUUAGUCUCUAAGGUGCCACAAGUACUCCUUUUCUUUUUGCGAAUACAGACUAACACGGCUGCUACUCUGAAAAGAGUAAUAAUGUGGCAUUUCCCUGUGUGAUGCAGUGCCUCUCUCUACCUCAUGUGUGUACAUAAAUGUGAUGUGGCAUGGCACAAGUCCAGCAUAAGCGCAUGUGAAGAGACAUUUCCUCUUUCCCGGAUGAGUAGGUGUGUGUGUGUGUGUAAUGAUGUGGCAGUUUCUUGAGUGAGUCCGGUUCCAGUAAAGCACUUUCAGUCCCCAUCUGACCUGCCGGGAGCCAUUUCUAUGGAGUUCUACCCUGAGGCUCAGAGCUUCUCCCCAGAGAUGAAUUGGACUCCCACCGGGACUGGAAAGCUAAGGUGAGAGUCCAUCCCUCAGCAAUGAAUAUCUCCAGCCUGAGCAGCCAGCCAAGGCAACACGAGCCUCCGGACUUGGCUGGAUUCACUGCAGGCUCUGUUGUCCCGGGUGUGACCAAGAAGGCUGACGCCCUUCCCAUGAUCACGGUCAUUGUGAUCAUGUUCGUCCUCUUGGCUGUUGUCAUCAUUGUGCUGGUGCGCUACGGCCCGCAGCUGUGCACGUUGCAGGUCACCCUGUACCAUGAGCCCAUGCCGCAGGAUCUGGAGAAGGGGGUGCACCUAACAGAUUGGAAGAAACUGGGCUCCAAAAGGAAAAGCAACAUGAUGCAGCCUGCUCAGAACUACCAGGGAGAAUCGGGCAGUAAUGACACUGCUGCGCUGAGCGACCAGUGCUCCUGUAAGCACCAACUGCCCUGCAUAAACGCGGAGCCUAAUGUCAUAGAGAUCACCUACCUGUGAAAUGUCUCGUGGCGGGGCCGGAGGCCAGCUCUGGUCAGACAGUCGCCAGGGGGACAAUGGCUCUGUUGGAGAAUAGCAAUGUUGGGAGUUGAGGAUUGCCAAGACUCACCAGUAUUCCAACACUGUGGUUUUAUCGCCUCGUGAUCCCCAGCGGCUCAGACGCACCCAAUACUCAGUUGUGUGUCCCGGGCGAAAAGCAGCUUCAAAUAAAUAGAUUUGGGUGGCUGUCACAAUGUGCGUUUGAAACACACUUCGGUUCUUUCAGAUGUGCACCCUGGAGGGACCAGGCAGUGCCUGUUCCCAAGAGCUGAUGGGGACCUGAGAAGGGCAGAGACAAGAAGGCAGCUGAUCCCUGCUUCUGCCUGCAUGAUACACCUUAACGAUGCUCAGCGCUCAUGAAGCACUUUACAGCAGCCCUGUCGGAUAGGUAACUGCUGUCCCUUUCCUAGGCCACCAGCGGCAGUGGCCGGACUAGGACAACUCAGGAAUCAGAGUGCCCUUUGGUGCUGCAGGCAGAGAAAGCCCUGCUCCAACUCUAACCCCUCACUGGGAGCUCACUGCCUCACCCCUCUAUCCAGAGUGAGCAAACAGGGAUUUUUGUGGAAAUCAGGCUUUUCUGGUUUUCCAGUUGUCACCCAAAUCCAUAGAGCUCUGCCCACUGAUGCCUAGAAUGGCCUCUGAAAGUCUGCAACAGAUCGGCUGUGGUUUUCAGAAACUGCCACGUGACAGACGGGCUAACAGAGAAAUGCCGGCAAGUAGAGCAUAAGGCCUUGUUUUGCCUGGCCAGCUCUCAUGUGGGCAGCAACAAACUAGAACUGACCAGCACAAUGGCACUAAGCCCAGCCGAGCAACCCAUUUGUAAUGAAGCCAGCUGGGACCGAAGCUGGGCCCAGUGGAAGGGUCUGAGCGGAAAGCCUGGGAACUGCUUUGGAACUGCCACCACGGGGGCAAAACCCGGGUGGAUCUGCUACAUAGUCAGGGCAAAACUCAGCAGAAACACCAAGAGAGCUCCAAGAAAACAUGUGCAAGACCCUCUGCUCCUCCUAGCCUAGCUCCAGGGCUGUCCUGAGGAUUUAUGGGGCCCUACGCAGUAUUGUUAAACUAGUGCCCCUUUGCUUCACUGAAGGCGGUCCCCAGCCAGUGCCACUGACCCCAGUGUGUCAAGAGGGCACAGCCACCACCCCCGGCCACAGACCCCUCCAGAACUGUCCCCCAUUGCUGACACACACCGACCUUUGUAUGCCGCAGAUGCUGCGGCAGUGGUUCAAGGCAGGCUUCACGCUGCCACAUGGGGGCUGCAUCUUGCCAGAGCCCAAGGACCUCCUGCAGCCCCUAGCCACUCCUGGCUCACCAUGAGCAUUUUGACAGGAAGUACCAAGCAGUAGUAACAACACUAAUACAAAUGUGUGUGUGAGUGUGAGAGAGAGAGAGCCAGUGCACGUGAGAGAGCCAGAGAGAGAGCCAGUGUGUGUGUGACUGUGUGUGGGGGGACUGUGUGAUAGUGAGUGUUGGGGAGUGUAACAAUCUGUAUUGGGGGACUGUGACUCGUGAGAGACAGAGUGUAUUGGGUGUGAGAGCCAGUCUGGGUGUGAGAGAGACAGUGUGUGUGUAUGUUAGGGAAGUGUGAGAGACAGUGAGCUCACUGUCACCCACUUAGCAUCCAGGUUCACCCGCCCCCCAGCCCCCAGCCCCGGUGCUGCUUUGGCCCCAGGACUUGCCCCACUACGCCUGCCCGCCCAGAACUCCUGCCAGGGAGUGGGGUCGAGGUGCGGGGGCUUACCCCGCUCCGCCCGGCGCUCCAGCUGGGGAAUAGGGGCUUACCCCACUCUGCCCGGAAGCCCCCGCACCCCGACCCCGCUACCUGGUUGGAGUGCCAGGUGGACAGAGCGGGACAAGCCCCCACACCCCAACCCCACUCACCAGGUGCACGCCUGGGCCCCGGGGGGCCCCUGGCCAGCGUGUCCAUCGACCCCUGCAAGGCCGGCUGGAGAGGGUGGUGGGGAAGCGGCCCUGAUCCCUCCUGCCCCCGCUCCCCUGCCACCUGUCUUUACCCACCCACCUGAAGUCGGGGCCCACCCAAGUGUCCCGUCCUGGCUACACCACUGCUCAGUGGUGGAAAUGGGAACACGGGCUCCGAGAUGGAAGAGAUUUCAAGGGUGGUAAAGAAGCACAAAAGAAGGGAUUUGUGCAGGUGUUAGACGGAUGAGAACCCCCUCCCCAGAUUCAGCCACCCUGCGCGUUAAGGGUGUUUCAGUCCAGAGACCGAGGCCCAUCUCUAAAGCAGAAGCGCAGAGUGAGGAAGAGAUGAGGGAGGGGGCCCUGGUCUUAGCUCUUCACUGGGAUUAAUUCUUUCUGAAAUCAGUGGUGUCUGCUGACCCUCUGCCCCUUUGCACAAGAGGGAAAGUGCGGGACAGUGGUGCACAAAAGUGUGCUCUUGGGGCAGGUCCUGCUCUGCUAUCUCGCCUGCUACUGCCCCCUUGUGGCUGGGCACAAUAACGUUGGGGUUAUUGCUUCGGUUUCACCUCUUGGGCUUCUUAAAGGCUCCACCCCAAGUUCCCUUGGGUCUGAUUUUACCCGCUCCUGAAGGUCACGCACCUAGUGCAAGGAGUCCUAGAAAGUCCAUUUAUCCCCAAUGCAGUGCCCUUGGACCAUUCCCCAGACACAGCCCAGCAACUUACCUCAGACCUCACCUCUGGCAUCUUCUGCCUCACCUGGCCUGUCACUGAACAGCCAGCCCAGCCCUUCCAGCUGGAGGCCUUCCAGGCAUCUCAACCUUUGGCUAGGGAAGACCAGCAGGCUAGCCCCUCCGCCAGUCUCUGAGUCCGCAUCAUCCUCCCAGCACUGACCCCUCCAAUCAUAGCCAGGCGCCUCUCAUGCCACCCUGCCCUCUCAAUCAGAUCAACCUGGGACACACCUGGGCUGGACUCACUUCACUUACAGGGGCCAGUUGCCCUGUGACAUGCCCUACUGCGCAAGGGCAAACAACUCUGCAGGGGAGGCAGGGCAUGGGGGGCUGGGAAGUCUGCUACUGCACCCCCUCGUACUGCACAGGGCUAGUCACCUCCAAAGGGCUGGGCCCUUAGGAGUGUGUGAAUUCAUAGCCCUUCACUCCCCUGUGUGCGCCCAUCCUGGCUACUCGAGAUGGGCACUGGACAGAGGAUUGGAAGUAGCUCAACAAGACCGGCCUUGGCUCAAGUGGUAGAGGCCUGUGCUUCUGGAGCCAUAGGUCCAGGGCUCUAGGCCCAGUGAUGGAGGCGGGUUAUGAAGGAGAAAUGGGUGGAAGGAUGUGUAUAGCAGGUAACCAUUGACUGGGAAUGGUUUGAGGCAGAAGCUCAGUGGUGAAGCAGGCACAGAGGGUAGCUCUGUGGAUAACACUGUUGGCUUUUUCCCAAUAAAGCUCCUUGAUCAGUGUU